rnacentral:sRNA from 1 species
AUUCUUCUAUAGAGGGUGGUUGCAGCCAGUGUGAGUCACUAGCUAAUGAACUUUGCGCUCAUGAAUCUAAAAGACAGCAACACCAUGAAGAGGUCAACGAAAGUACCUUUUGUCCAGCUCAAGCAAAUGCUGAUAGGUUAUAGAAGAUUGAGUGCAAACCACUAUCAUUGAUGUUUUGUUUCUAGGCUUGUAGCCACGACUCGAGAAGAGUGUACCUUGCCACAUUUGAUUGGGGCUGCCCCGGUCUGUUAUUGUGUACCAACUGGCAUUGAUGCUCUUCGUCCAUCUUUCUUCUUCUUGUUAGUUUGGUUAGAGCAUCGUAUUUCUUAAUAACAAUUUUGAGGGAUAUAUAUUGUCAAAAGUUUUUAGGAGUUUGGGGCUUCAAAUCAGAGAUCUUAUGACAACACAAGAAAUAUCAUCUUAUUUAUUUAUAUAUAUAUAUAUAUAUAUAUAUAUAUAUAUAACAAUCUUUGUGUGUUUCUGAGUUUAUUUAUUUAUGUGUUAAUCAUAAAACUGCAGAGAUAGCAAUUUAUUUACAUAAUGUCAAACAU